rnacentral:rRNA from 1 species
GACGAACGCUGGCGGCGUGCUUAACACAUGCAAGUCGAACGGUGAAGGGAUCAGCUUGCUGGUUCUGGAUGAGUGGCGAACGGGUGAGUAACACGUGAGUAACCUGCCCCCUUCUUCUGGAUAACCGCAUGAAAGUGUGGCUAAUACGGGAUAUUCUGGGUCUGUCGCAUGGCGGGUCUGGGAAAGAUGCGCCUUUGGGUGUUUUUGGUGGGGGAUGGGCUCGCGGCCUAUCAGCUUGUUGGUGGGGUGAUGGCCUACCAAGGCGGUGACGGGUAGCCGGCCUGAGAGGGUGGACGGUCACACUGGGACUGAGACACGGCCCAGACUCCUACGGGAGGCAGCAGUGGGGAAUAUUGCACAAUGGGCGCAAGCCUGAUGCAGCGACGCCGCGUGAGGGAUGGAGGCCUUCGGGUUGUAAACCUCUUUCGCCAGUGAAGCAGGCCUGCUCCUUGUGGGUGGGU